CGCGUAGGCGGGAUGGCAAGUCGGUCGUGAAAUCCUUCGGCUCAACCGAAGAACGUCGGCCGAUACUGCCGUUCUUGAGGGAUGCAGAGGAGAUUGGAAUUCCCGGUGUAGCGGUGAAAUGUGUAGAGAUCGGGAGGAACACCGGUGGCGAAGGCGGGUCUCUGGGCAUCUCCUGACGCUGAGGCGCGAAAGCGUGGGGAGCAAACGGGAUUAGAUACCCCGGUAGUCCACGCUGUAAACGAUGACGACUAGGUGUGGGGGGGGUUAGUCCUUUCCGUGCCGCAGCUAACGCAUUAAGUCGUCCGCCUGGGGAGUACGGCCGCAAGGUUAAA
rnacentral:rRNA from 1 species